UGGGGAAUAUUGGACAAUGGGGGGAACCCUGAUCCAGCCAUGCCGCGUGUGUGAAGAAGGCCUUAUGGUUGUAAAGCACUUUAAGCGAGGAGGAGGGUACUGGUAUUAAUACUACCAGGUACUGGACGUUACUCGCAGAAUAAGCACCGGCUAACUCUGUGCCAGCAGCCGCGGUAAUACAGAGGGUGCGAGCGUUAAUCGGAUUUACUGGGCGUAAAGCGUGCGUAGGCGGCUAAUUGAGUCGGAUGUGAAAUCCCCGAGCUUAACUUGGGAAUUGCAUUCGAUACUGGUUAGCUAGAGUGUGGGAGAGGAUGGUAGAAUUCCAGGUGUAGCGGUGAAAUGCGUAGAGAUCUGGAGGAAUACCGAUGGCGAAGGCAGCCAUCUGGCCUAACACUGACGCUGAGGUACGAAAGCGUGGGGAGCAAACAGG
rnacentral:rRNA from 1 species